AAGACUCUAGAGGCCGCUGGUGUGCGACUUGUGGGGAUUAUGGAGGCCACGCACCCAAUGAUAGACUCUCACAAUCCUAACAUAGCUUUUUGGCUCUCUUAUCUCUUCAUAUCUUCCUCACAUUCAUUCCUAGUACUACUAUUGUUCACACUCACAUCUUCUGCAAACUAGAAAGAGAUGGCCCUGCAACUGCAGGCACCCUCUACCAGAACCCAUCUAGCAUCACCAUCCCCAUUAGCUCCGAGAGGCAAUGCCGGCCUACGGCCACCUUCGGAUCGUUUUGCUCUAAGAUCCUCAUUCUUUUCUUCAUCACUUAGCCUAUUGCUUCCCCCUAAGCAGCAGAAGCCCCUUGCUAAAGCUGCACCAAAGUUUUCCAUGAGAGUUGCCUCCAAGGAAGCCUAUAUUUGUCGCGAUUGCGGGUAUAUAUACAAUGAGAGAACUCCUUUUCAAAAGUUACCUGACAAUUACUACUGCCCUGUUUGUGGUGCUCCCAAAAGAAGGUUUAGGGUAUACCAGCCUCCUGUGACCAAAGACGCCAACAACAAAGAUUUUCGAAAGGCACGAAAAGCACAGUUGCAGAGAGACGAAACGAUUGGAAAAGCACUACCUAUUGCUAUUGCGGUUGGAGUUGUGGCACUUGCUGGAUUAUACUUCUACCUGAACAACAGCAUCCAGGGAUAGAUAAUACCAUAGUUGCAGCUAUGUGUCUCAAUUCUCAAAUGGAUUGGACACAAUAUUUUGUACCUACGGUAACUCAGCACUUCAAUACAAUGAGGAGCCACAAUGCCACAAAUAGUAAUAGAAAGUUUUAGCAACCUCGCAGCAGGACAAUUGAGCUCUAUGUUGCUUGCUUGGUGAUGUAAAAUAGCUUAUUAAAAGCACCUGAAAGUACACUCAAUGAUGUUAUAUGCUUUUUCAA